rnacentral:rRNA from 1 species
GGCGGCCCGUGCUCGAAGAAGAGGAAGUCGGCGGCUGCAGAAGGGCGCGGCCCGGAGGCUACGGCGGAUCCGCCGCUGGACGCAGCGGAAGGGGGCGGGGACGGCUACCGCAUCAGCGGCCUCCCCGACGGCGUCCUCGGGGACAUCGUCUCGCUCCUCCCCACCAAGGAAGGCGCGCGCACGCAGAUCCUCGCCUCCCGGUGGCGCCACCUCUGGCGCUCCGCCCCUCUCAACCUCGACUACCGUCCAUUCUUAUUCCACGCGGAGGGCCUCGACGCCAUCGUGUCUCGCAUCCUCACCUCACACCGGGGCCCCGGCCGCCGCUUCUGCGCGCCCAUCUACCACCUCCACGGCGACGAAGCCGACGCCUGGCUUCGAUCCCCCGCCCUCGACAACCUCCACGAGCUUGAGCUCUUCCCGUAUCCACGGGGAAUACCGCAGCCGGCGCCGCUGCCUGCAGCUGCCUUCCGCUUCUCUGACACCCUCGGCGUUGCCACCAUCGGAGAGUGCCACAUCCCUGACAGCAUGGCCCAAGCGCUUUUCUUCCCUAAGCUUAACAAGCUCGGGCUUGAAAAUGUCACCAUAUCCGAAUCCUCACUACAAACCAUGAUUGAUGGUUGCCCCGCUCUAGAGUGCUUGCUGAUUCGCCGCGGCUCUGGCUUCCGUUGUGUCCGAAUCAACUCCAUCAGCCUUAGAGGCAUAGGUGUGGAAGCUUAUUGGGGAGAGCUCAUCAUAUUAAAGGAAGUCAUCAUCGAGAAUGCCCCUUGUCUUGAAAGGUUGCUCCUAUUUGGCUCAGCUGAACCCGCGCAUAUAUCGGUAAUCUCCGCACCUAAAUUGGAGACCCUAGGCUGCCUAUCUUCCUAUUUAUCUGAUUCUAGUACCACACUCACGCUAUACUCGACAGUUAUUCAGGGAUUGCGUGUUGAUAGCUUGACGGAGACGGUGCGCACUGUCAAGAUUUUAUCUGUUCGUAUGAUUGCUCUUAGUUUGGAUGUUGUUAUUGACUUGAUGAGAUGCUUUCCUUGCUUGGAAAGGCUGUACAUUGAGUCAAUUCAGCCAGGGAAAAAGAAUUUGUGGCGCCGUAAACACCGGAAUCUAAUAAGAUCUCUUGACAUCCGUCUGAAGACAAUUGACUGGCGAUAUUAUGUGGGCACCAAGUCAGAUGUUGACUUUGCCACAUUCUUUUUACUAAACGCGAGAGUGCUAGAGUUAAUGACUCUUCAGGUUUAUCCGAGUAAUUUCAAAGAGGAGUUUUUUACACGGCAACGUGAGAAGCUUCAACUGGAUAAGAAGGCCUCAGGAGGUGCUCGGCUUCAUUUUACAACGUAUCAUUUUCAUGGCAGUUUUACGGAUUUCUGUGUCCGUGAUUUGGAUCUAGCUGAUCCCUUUGAAAGGAGUUAUCCGUACCAAUUUCAUGCUUUG